UACAGAGGGGGCGAGCGUUGUUCGGAAUUACUGGGCGUAAAGGGCGCGUAGGCGGUCAGCACAAGUCAGUUGUGAAAUCUCCGAGCUUAACUCGGAAAGGUCAACUGAUACUGUGCGACUAGAGUGCAGAAGGGGCAACUGGAAUUCUCGGUGUAGCGGUGAAAUGCGUAGAUAUCGAGAGGAACACCUGCGGCGAAGGCGGGUUGCUGGGCUGACACUGACGCUGAGGCGCGAAAGCUAGGGGAGCGAACGGG
rnacentral:rRNA from 1 species